CACGUAGGGUGCGAGCGUUGUCCGGAAUUAUUGGGCGUAAAGAGCUCGUAGGCGGUGUGUCGCGUCGGCCGUGAAAACCUGCAGCUUAACUGUAGGCGUGCGGUCGAUACGGGCAUCACUGGAGUUCGGCAGGGGAGACUGGAAUUCCUGGUGUAGCGGUGAAAUGCGCAGAUAUCAGGAGGAACACCGGUGGCGAAGGCGGGUCUCUGGGCCGAUACUGACGCUGAGGAGCGAAAGCGUGGGGAGCGAACAGG
rnacentral:rRNA from 1 species